AAAAAAAAAAAAAAAAAAAAGAAAAGAAAAAAAGAAAAAACCUGAAAAGGCAGUCAAGGGAAAGGUGAGUCAUUUUUUUCCCUUGAGACAGCGUUUCUCUGUAUAGCCCUAGCUGAUCUGGAACUCACUCUGUAGACCAGGCUGGCAUUGAACUCAGAUCUCCCUGUGUCUGUCCAAGACCCCCAGCCCCUAGAGAUUAAAGUUAUGUGCCACCACUGCCAGGCUGACAUGUAGCCUUUAAAGCUAAUUAAUAAGGACCUUUUUCUGAGCUCCUAGAGCAAGUUUUACAAACAAAAGAAACUAUGAGCAAAAUGUGUUUUGGCCCCCAUUAUUUCUCUUGCCAUUUCCUUCCAUACAGCUCUGGUCUCCCAGUCAGGAACCCAGUUAGUGUGGCCGCAGGAGGCUACAGCCCACUGUACUCAUGGGCACAUCUUCAAAGCUGCAGAUGCUUGUGAUGAGACACUGAUUCGCUCUUAUUGACAAAGCACUUAUAAUGUGCCCUCUAUGUCUCUGCACCUCUCUAUACUAGCAAUACACCCCGAAGUAAACACAUCUCCCUACUCCGUACAUCUAACAGGAACAAGUGACAAGCACUCUGCUAGUGAGAAAACUGGUGUUAGGCAUUGCUGCAUCACCAAGACAGAAUCAAGUCUCUCCAACCCACUUAAAAUUACUGCCAUAUAGCUCCAUAUGCCCUCAAUAAAGAAGUCUCUCGCCUAUUGUUUCCAAAUUAGAUCUAUGAAUAACAAGGCAAUUAAAGCUUCAAAGAAAAAGAGACCAGAAGUAAUUGUAUACAUACAUAUCUUUUAGUCUUUAAAGAAAAGCGCCUAACUUUGCUAGGAAUGUUUUUCAACAAAGCCUUUGUUUAUAUAUAAUAGGAGUAAAAAGAUUAAUAAAGGGAGCUGGGAAAAGGCACCACGGAUAAAGCACGGGCCACACAAGCAUGAAGACUGGAGUGCAUAUCUCUAGCACCCACAUAAAAUCUGGGCAACGCCGGGCAGUGGUGGCGCAUGCCUUUAACCCCAGCACUUGGGAGGCAGAGGCAGGCAGAUUUCUGAGUUCAAGGCCAGCC
rnacentral:lncRNA from 1 species